ACUGGUUAUGAAACCUAAGGGAUCACAGUAAAGUAUUAAGUGGGGUUCCAGUUCAUUUACUUUGAGUAAAUUAGAGUGUUCAAAGCAGCCUGUAUGGGCAUUGAAUAGAUUAGCAUGGGAUAAUAGAAUAGGAUUCUUAUCUAUUUAUUGGUUUAUAGAUUUAGAAUAAUGAUUAAUAGGGAUAGUUGGGGGCACUUGUAUUCAAUAGUCAGAGGUGAAAUUCUAGGAUUUAUUGAAGACAAACUUCAGCGAAAGCAUUUGCCAAGGAUGUUUUCAUUAAUCAAGAACGAAAGUUAGGGGAUCGAAGACGAUUAGACACCGUCGUAGUCUUAACUAUAAACUAUGCCGACCAGGGAUAUGAGAGUUAUUUAUUUAUACUAUGAACAAUAGUAUAAUCUCUUGUGGACCUUGUGAGAAAUCAUAAGUUUUUGGGUU
rnacentral:rRNA from 1 species